GGGGAUUUAGCUCAGUGGUAGAGCACUUGCCUAGCAAGCGCAAGGCCCUGGGUUCGGUCCCCAGCUCUCCU
rnacentral:tRNA from 1 species